UACGGAGGGUGCGAGCGUUGUCCGGAAUUACUGGGCGUAAAGGGCGCGCAGGCGGCUCUGAAAGUCAGAUGUGAAAGCCCCGGGCUUAACCUGGGAACUGCAUUUGAUACUCUAGAGCUUGAGUACGGGAGAGGAGAGUGGAAUUCCCAGUGUAGAGGUGAAAUUCGUAGAUAUUGGGAAGAACACCGGUGGCGAAGGCGGCUCUCUGGACCGUAACUGACGCUGAGGCGCGAAAGCGUGGGGGGCAAACAGG
rnacentral:rRNA from 1 species